rnacentral:rRNA from 1 species
GGUUGAUCCUGCCAGUAGUCAUAUGCUCGUCUCAAAGAUUAAGCCAUGCAUGUCUAAGUAUAAACUGCUUAUACUGUGAAACUGCGAAUGGCUCAUUAAAUCAGUUAUAGUUUAUUUGAUGGUACAAUUUACUCGGAUACCCGUAGUAACUCCAUGGCUAAUACGUGCGUAAACCCCGACUCCUGGAAGGGGCGUAUUUAUUAGAUAAAAGACCGACCGGGCUUGCCCGAUCCGCGGUGAAUCAUGAUAACUUCACGAAUCGCACGGCCUCGAGCCGGCGAUGUUUCAUUCAA